rnacentral:rRNA from 1 species
UACGUAGGGGGCAAGCGUUGUCCGGAUUCAUUGGGCGUAAAGAGCUCGUAGGCGGCUUGGCAAGUCGGGUGUGAAAACUCCAGGCUCAACCUGGAGACGCCACCCGAUACUGCCAUGGCUAGAGUCCGGUAGGGGACCACGGAAUUCCUGGUGUAGCGGUGAAAUGCGCAGAUAUCAGGAGGAACACCGGUGGCGAAGGCAGCUCACUGGGACGGUAUUGACGCUGAGACGCGAAAGCGUGGGUAGCAAACGGG